rnacentral:rRNA from 1 species
AGUGAACGCUGGCGGUAGGCCUAACACAUGCAAGUCGAACGGCAGCACAGUAAGAGCUUGCUCUUACGGGUGGCGAGUGGCGGACGGGUGAGGAAUACAUCGGAAUCUACUUUUUCGUGGGGGAUAACGUAGGGAAACUUACGCUAAUACCGCAUACGACCUACGGGUGAAAGCAGGGGAUCUUCGGACCUUGCGCGAGUGAAUGAGCCGGUGGCGGAUUAGCUAGUUGGCGGGGUAGAGGCCCACCAAGGCGACGAUGGGUAGCCGGCCUGAGAGGAUGACCGGCCACAUUGGGACUGAGAAACGGCCCAGACUCCUACGGGAGGCAGCAGUGGGGAAUAGUGCACAAUGGGCGGAAGCCUGAUGCAGCAACGCCGCGUGCGGGAUGACGGCCUUCGGGUUGUAAACCGCUUUCGCCUGUGACGAAGCGUGAGUGACGGUAAUGGGUAAAGAAGCACCGGCUAACUACGUG